UAGGGAAUCUUCGGCAAUGGACGGAAGUCUGACCGAGCAACGCCGCGUGAGUGAAGAAGGUUUUCGGAUCGUAAAGCUCUGUUGUAAGAGAAGAACGAGUGUGAGAGUGGAAAGUUCACACUGUGACGGUAUCUUACCAGAAAGGGACGGCUAACUACGUGCCAGCAGCCGCGGUAAUACGUAGGUCCCGAGCGUUGUCCGGAUUUAUUGGGCGUAAAGCGAGCGCAGGCGGUUAGAUAAGUCUGAAGUUAAAGGCUGUGGCUUAACCAUAGUACGCUUUGGAAACUGUUUAACUUGAGUGCAAGAGGGGAGAGUGGAAUUCCAUGUGUAGCGGUGAAAUGCGUAGAUAUAUGGAGGAACACCGGCGGCGAAAGCGGCUCUCUGGCUUGUAACUGACGCUGAGGCUCGAAAGCGUGGGGAGCAAACAGGAUUAGAUACCCUGGUAGUCCACGCCGUAAACGAUGAGUGCUAGGUGUUAGACCCUUUCCGGGGUUUAGUGCCGUAGCUAACGCAUUAAGCACUCCGCCUGGGGAGUACGACCGCAAGGUUG
rnacentral:rRNA from 1 species